GACAGAGGAUGCAAGCGUUAUCCGGAAUGAUUGGGCGUAAAGCGUCUGUAGGUGGCUUUUUAAGUCCGCCGUCAAAUCCCAGGGCUCAACCCUGGACAGGCGGUGGAAACUAGAAAGCUUGAGUACAGUAGGGGCGGAGGGAAUUUCCGGUGGAGCGGUGAAAUGCAUAGAUAUCGGGAAGAACACCAACGGCGAAAGCACUCUGCUGGGCCGACACUGACACUGAGAGACGAAAGCUAGGGGAGCGAAUGGG
rnacentral:rRNA from 1 species